GGUGUAGGCGGCUUGGCAAGUCGGAUGUGAAAUCCCAGGGCCCAACCCUGGAACUGCAUUCGAAACUGCCUCGCUAGAGUCCCGGAGAGGGUGGCGGAAUUCCCGGUGUAGGGGUGGAAUCCGUAGAUAUCGGGAGGAACACCAGUGGCGAAGGCGGCCACCUGGACGGUGACUGACGCUCAGACCCGAAAGCGUGGGGAGCAAACAGGAUUAGAUACCCUGGUAGUC
rnacentral:rRNA from 1 species